rnacentral:misc_RNA from 1 species
GAGAAAUUAAGCUUAAAUUAAAAACAUUUAACCCUCAGCAGUAUCCAACAAUUUUAAUGUCUCAAAAUGACUCAGAAACAACAAAGCAAAAUUAAGACAAAAAAACACAAAACCAGACAAGUAAACUAAAUAAUUAAGAACUACUAAGAGCACCAAAAACCAAAAGUCUCAUAUUUAGCAUAUUAAAACCAUUCUUCUCAAUGACACAAAAUGCAGGCUCGGGGUUGGUUGGCUUAUUUCUUCUUGACAGCGGAUUUGGUGACCUUGGCUCCUGUUGGGUCCUUCUUCUCCACACUCUUGAUCACACCAACUGCAACGGUUUGACGCAUAUCACGAACAGCAAAACGACCCAAUGGUGGGUAUGAGGAGAAUGUCUCCACAACCAUUGGCUUGGUCGGAACCAUCUUAACCAUACCGGCAUCACCGUUCUUCAAGAAUUUGGGCUCCUUUUCGAGUUCCUUACCAGAUCGACGAUCAAUCUUGGUGAGGAUCUCAGCAAACUUAACAGCAAUGUGGGAGGUGUGGCAAUCAAGGACUGGGGCAUAACCGUUACCAAUCUGGCCAGGGUGGUUCAUGAUGAUAACCUGGGAAGUGAAGUUGGCCGCCUCCUUGGCAGGGUCAUCCUUGGAGUUCGAGGCAACAAACCCACGCUUAAGA